GGCUAACUCCGUGCCAGCAGCCGCGGUAAUACGGAGGGUGCGAGCGUUAAUCGGAAGUUACUGGGCGUAAAGCGCAUGCAGGCGGCCUGUUAAGUCAGAUGUGAAAGACCCGGGGCGUUAACCUCGGAAUUGCAUUUGUAAACUACGGCAGGCGUAGAGUCGUUGUAGAGGGGGGUAGGAAUUACUAGGUGUAGCGGUGAAAUAGCGUAGAGAUCUAGAAGGAAUACCAGUGGCGAAGGCGGCCCCCUCGGACUAAAGUACUGACGCUUCACGAUAGCGAAAAGCGUGGGGGUAGCAAACAGGAUUAGACUACCCCCUGGUAG
rnacentral:rRNA from 1 species